rnacentral:misc_RNA from 1 species
UUUCCGUAGGUGAACCUGCGGAAGGAUCAUUAACGAGUCAAGUCCUACGGGACUUUCUUAUCCAACCACUUGUGAAAAUUAAUUUUUGCUUUGGGAAUUUAAUUAUUUCAGACAAUCUAAGACACUAAGUUGUCUUUUGUCUAAAUGAUUAUUUAAAAAUCAAAACUUUCAACAACGGAUCUCUUGGUCCUC